rnacentral:rRNA from 1 species
UACGUAGGGGGCAAGCGUUGUCCGGAUUUAUUGGGCGUAAAGAGCGUGUAGGCGGCUUGGUAGGUCCGCUGUGAAAACUCGAGGCUCAACCUCGAGAUGUCGGCGGAAACCACUUGGCUAGAGUCCGGAAGAGGAGAGUGGAAUUCCCCGGUGUAGCGGUGAAAUGCGUAGAGAUCGGGAGGAACAUCAGUGGCGAAGGCGGCCAUCUGGGACAACACUGACGCUGAAGCACGAAAGCGUGGGGAGCAAACAGG